GAGUAGAGAGAACAAGUGUAUGGGACAUAGAUGAGAAAAAAGUGACCAACUGCUCUGGACCACCCUCAUGCUUUUCAAAAACACAGGAUGGAAGUCUGGCUUUUCUGCUCUUUGGAGUAGCACAUUGACAAGGCACAGCAUUUAUGAACUAGUGCAUUUCUGAACGAAGAAUCUGGCUGAGUGCUCUGAUAGUAAAUUUGCAGUUCCAGCGGCAAACUGUAAUCUUUGAGAACUUGCUGACCAUCCUGGAGUCAGGGAAAAAUGCCUAAUCUCUCCCUGCUAAGGUGCGGCAGUAGGAGGUGAUGAAAAAAGACCAGGAGAAACUAGGAGCACUUUAUGAACUCGAGGAUUAUUUGAAAUGGAAGCCUCAUGACAGUCACUCCCAUGUUAGCAAGACUUCAAAUGCAAAGCACAUUAUGAAGGACUGCUUGGGUCUGUGUCUUCCAAAAACCUACAGUACGAGGGUGGGUGCACUGGUUUUGUAUUCUGAGAAACUGGCUGAGCCUUCAUAGAAAAUGGGCAGUAGCAGAAUGCAUCUGUGUGGCCACAGAUAUGGAAGAAAACUACAGAUGAAGUUGCAUACCCUCCAAGACUUGCAUAAAGCCAUCAUGGCAUAUGGAGGAAAGUAGGUAAGAACCAACAACUUACAUGAGGCCCCUGGCUCUGUUCCUCUAGAUGUUAAAUUACACAACCACUCCAUGAAACCUCAAAAAGACUACUGCUGUUUGCUGAUGUUAAUAAGCUGCUAAUAAAAUUAACCCAAUACUGAAACAUA